GUUUGGGUGGCAGAGCCUGGCCAGUGCAAAAGAUCUAAGCUCUUUCUACGAGGGUUCAAUUCCCUCCCUAAAUC
rnacentral:tRNA from 1 species